AGUGAACGCUGGCGGUAGGCCUAACACAUGCAAGUCGAACGGCAGCACAGUAAGAGCUUGCUCUUACGGGUGGCGAGUGGCGGACGGGUGAGGAAUACAUCGGAAUCUACUUUUUCGUGGGGGAUAACGUAGGGAAACUUACGCUAAUACCGCAUACGACCUACGGGUGAAAGCAGGGGAUCUUCGGACCUUGCGCGAUUGAAUGAGCCGAUGUCGGAUUAGCUAGUUGGCGGGGUAAAGGCCCACCAAGGCGACGAUCCGUAGCUGGUCUGAGAGGAUGAUCAGCCACACUGGAACUGAGACACGGUCCAGACUCCUACGGGAGGCAGCAGUGGGGAAUAUUGGACAAUGGGCACAAGCCUGAUCCAGCCAUACCGCGUGGGUGAAGAAGGCCUUCGGGUUGUAAAGCCCUUUUGUUGGGAAAGAAAGGCAGCAGGUUAAUACCCCGCUGUUCUGACGGUACCCAAAGAAUAAGCACCGGCUAACUUCGUG
rnacentral:rRNA from 1 species